rnacentral:rRNA from 1 species
GAUGAACGCUGGCGGCGUGCCUAACACAUGCAAGUCGAGCGAUUCACUUCGGUGAAGAGCGGCGGACGGGUGAGUAACGCGUGGGUAACCUGCCUCAUACACAUGGAUAACAUACCGAAAGGUAUGCUAAUACAAGAUGAUAUAAGAGAUUCGCAUGGAUUUCUUAUCAAAGCUCCGGCGGUAUGAGAUGGACCCGCGUCUGAUUAGCUAGUUGGUAAGGUAACGGCUUACCAAGGCGACGAUCAGUAGCCGACCUGAGAGGGUGAUCGGCCACAUUGGAACUGAGACACGGUCCAAACUCCUACGGGAGGCAGCAGUGGGGAAUAUUGCACAAUGGGCGAAAGCCUGAUGCAGCAACGCCGCGUGAGCGAUGAAGGCCUUCGGGUCGUAAAGCUCUGUCCUCAAGGAAGAUAAUGACGGUACUUGAGGAGGAAGCCCCGGCUAACUACGUGCCAGCCGCCGCCGUAAAAC